rnacentral:misc_RNA from 1 species
AACUGAUACUACCUGCGGGAACCUGCGGAGGGAUCAUUAUCGAAAGUUUCUUGAUGGGUUGUCGCUGGCCACUCGUGGCAUGUGCACGCCUGUCCUGACUCUAUCCAUCCACCUGUGCACCCAUUGUAGUCUUCUUCUUCGAGGGAUCGAGCCUCGAGCCCAUCUGCUUGGGCUGUCGGGAACCACUCUCGAACGAAGGAGGGCUAUGUCUUUGACAUCACACUCUGUAGUAUGUUGACC